rnacentral:lncRNA from 1 species
AUGCAUAGGCAGCCAAGGCUCUCUAGCAGGAGAAUCAUUUCCAUAGAAACCGAUUGGGAUGUUGUAGAGGGAAUAAUGAUUAAUAGCGAAGGGACGUUGCCUCAGGCCCUUUUCAUUUUUUCGGGGGCAGCGAGGGACAAACCAGAAGGAAGCAGAGCCCAGCCUACAGGCCUCCCCAAAGUGUGCAGUGAUUCACCAUCAGCCAGCUCCAGGGCGGAUAGGCGAUCUGGUGUCUCCCACCCAGCCCGGUUUGUUCACUCAGCAUUCCUGCUCAUCCUCAUCUCUUUCAUAGCUGACGAUGCUGAAAAUGCAGUACAGUCUCUGGACAAGAAUGCCGUUGAUCUGCUGACGAAAUACAUCUACCAGGGGGGUUGACAGCCCCUCUGACAGCAGCAGUGCCGUGUGAUGGCAGUGGCAUGAAAAGGCCCUGGCAGCAGCUGGAGGGGUGGGGUCUGUUGUCUGUGUCUGGACUGCGAGAAAAACGGUUGAAGGCCCCAGCGAGUGACAGGCUGAGAUCGGGGAGCUCCCCCACCUCAGUCAGGGUGAGGAGCCUGCCUGAAAUCACCUUGGUGCUGCACUCGCUGGAAUGGAAGCCUCAUCGCGCAGGCUGUUUGGAAAGAGGGGCAGGAUCGUUCAGGGGGUAGGGAAUUGAACCUGGGUUUCCAGUGCUCUGCCACAGGCUUCCUGUAUGAUGUGGGGCAAGUCAUUUAGCCUCUCAGUGACUCAUCUAUACAAUGGGGAUAAUAGCACUGCCCUACCUCAUGGCGGGGCGAGGUUGUGAGGAUACAAACACUCAGCUGCUAUGGUAAUGAGGGCCACAUAAGUACCACAGAUUGGACAGGACAAAACACUAAUUAGCAUGUACAAUAGGGAGCAGAGAGAUGGACUAGUUGGCUGAGAAGACUGCUGCUAACUUCUGUGAGCUACACACUAUAUUCCCAGCUGACAGCAGCACCUCUAGUUAGGCAAAUAACUCUUGCAGCACCUUUCCCCCCAGCACUGACUGGGGCACCCCAGAGAUGUGCCUUAGGUCCUGCCAAUUAACUGAUUUUAUUUAAAAAAUAAUUCCUUGUACACAGUAAUAGAAAAACAUUGUGUUGUCAUAGAUCCAUGUCUAAGUAAGAAAUUUGCAGCUCUUGUUGUGCUAUGCACCAUGGUGACAUGCUUGGAACUCCAUUAUGACAGUAGAGAGAGAAUCCUGAUCCUCUUCCUCUAAAAGCACAGACCCCAGCUACUUAAACUAACAGAGAAUCUCCAUUAGCUGUUAGCUGUACAGGGUCUUUGACACACAAUCAGGCAGUCCCAAAUCUACCCAGUGGAGGGCAGCAGUGCUCAAAUACACGUCAGUUCUUCACAGGUUGGUGUGUGUGUGUGU